AUACGGAGGAUGCGAGCGUUAUCCGGAUUUACUGGGUGUAAAGGGUGCGUAGGCGGCUUGGUAAGUCAGAUGUGAAAUCUAUGGGCUCAACCCAUACACUGCAUUUGAAACUAUCGAGCUUGAGUGAAGUAGAGGCAGGCGGGAUUUCCUGUGUUGCGGUGAAAUGCGUAGAGAUAGGGAGGAACACCAGGGGCGAAGGCGGCCUGCUGGGCUUUAACUGACGCUGAGGCACGAAAGCGUGGGUAGCAAACAGGAUUAGAUACCCUGGUAGUCCACGCCGUAAACGAUGAUUACUAGGUGUGGGGGGACUGACCCCUUCCGUGCCGGAGCUAACACAAUAAGUAAUCCACCUGGGGAGUACGGCCGCAAGGUUGAAACUCAAAGGAAUUGACGGGG
rnacentral:rRNA from 1 species